rnacentral:rRNA from 1 species
CCCGAUCCCAUCCCGAACUCGGAAGUUAAGCCCUCCAGGGCCGAUGGUACUGCACGGGAUACUGUGUGGGAGAGUAGGUCGCUGCCAAGA